rnacentral:lncRNA from 1 species
GCCCGAGGAUAGUUUGAUCAACCCAUAAAUACCUAUGGAUAGGUUUUUAACCAAUUAUUUCUUCAAAUAAUUUUUAGUAGUUAAUUUAGCCUCAGAUUUUAUUUUAGUAGGUGAUGGGCCUCCAUUGAAAGUUUCGAUUAGGUCAAACUAUUAACAUAGACCUACUCAGUGAUUCUAACUAAUGAAUGAUUAGACCCAAAGA